rnacentral:rRNA from 1 species
UACGUAGGGUGCGAGCGUUAAUCGGAAUACUGGGCGUAAAGCGUGCGCAGGCGGUGAUGUAAGACAGGUGUGAAAUCCCCGGGCUUAACCUGGGAACUGCAUUUGUGACUGCAUCGCUGGAGUGCGGCAGAGGGGGAUGGAAUUCCGCGUGUAGCAGUGAAAUGCGUAGAUAUGCGGAGGAACACCGAUGGCGAAGGCAAUCCCCUGGGCCUGCACUGACGCUCAUGCACGAAAGCGUGGGAGC